CUGCUCCAUUCUCAGGGCUGCUCCAACUUCCGGCACAAGAGCAUCAAUUAUGUCAAGGCAGCACAUUGGAGCUGGCCCUGAAAACCCCCCACAGCGACGUGGGCACCUGGCUCUGCGGUUUGCCUCCUUCUGCCCUCCAGCACUCCUCCUACUGUCUUGUGUUGAACUUCAUGAACAACUAUUGGGAAACAGGUAAAAGAGCUUGAGUCCACAACAGCUGAGUAACAUCCAGAGCCAAGUCUUGCUCAAGAACACUCUGGUAAUAGUCCACCCACCUAUAAUCACAGUGUAUUCCUCAGCCAUUAACUUUCAUGAGCGUGUUCCGUGAGCCAGGCAUUGUGCUGAACAGACAGAUGCCCUGGUUCCUGCAGAGCACAGCUCCCAUUGUCCUGGAGAGGGCAGCCCAACGCCAAGUCAGCAGGCAGGAGGAUUGUAAGAGUGACAGGUGCAACAGAGGAGGACCCGGGAACAAAGGGAAGGUCGGCUAGAAACGCAGAAUCCUACAGGCACCAGGGGGCGCUGUCGGGCCGGCAGAUAGGAGAGCAAUGAAGGCCAGCAGGGCAGGAGUCCUGUGGGAGAACAGGGCUUGAGAUGCAGCCGACCUGGAAUCAGGGAGCUGCUGAUAGAUGCAUGAGGUAAAAAUGAAGCAGAAGGGACCAAGGGCAUUGCUGAGGGUUCUGGCUAAACAAGGAAGCUGCAGGGCUUUUUACUGAGAUUUU
rnacentral:lncRNA from 1 species